UAAGACGAACCGUGCGAACGUUGUUCGGAAUCACUGGGCUUAAAGGGCGCGUAGGCGGGCUUGCAAGUCUGCGGUGAAAGCCCCCAGCUUAACUGGGGAAGUGCCGUGGAUACUGCGGGCCUCGAGGAGGGUAGGGGCAUCUGGAACAUUGGGUGGAGCGGUGAAAUGCGUUGAUAUCCAAUGGAACUCCGGUGGCGAAGGCGAGGUGCUGGACCCUUUCUGACGCUGAGGCGCGAAAGCCAGGGGAGCGAACGGGAUUAGAUACCCCGGUAGUCCUGGCCCUAAACGUUGAGGACUAGGUUGUGGACUUAACAUGGGUUCACAGCCGGAGCAAAAGUGCUAAGUCCUCCGCCUGGGGAGUAUGGUCGCAAGGCUG
rnacentral:rRNA from 1 species